UUAUUGUAGUAAUGAAAUUCAUCUGAAUUUCGUAGUAAUUUUUUUUUCUUUUUAAUUCUCAUGGCUGCAAUGAGAUCCUUUUGACUUUAUUUAACAUUCGACUUGUAAUUAACUUUGCCAACUUUAAACAAGGGAACUGCAUCACAUAUUGAGUGAUUGAUGUACACAAGUAUUUUUUUAAAUUUACUAUAAAACAAGAUAAAAA